UACGUAGGGGGCAAGCGUUGUCCGGAUUUAUUGGGCGUAAAGCGCGUGUAGGCGGCUAGGUAGGUCCGCUGUGAAAACUUGAGGCUCAACCUCAAGAGGUCGGUGGAAACCAUCUGGCUAGAGUCCGGAAGAGGAGAAUGGAAUUCCUGGUGUAGCGGUGAAAUGCGUAGAUAUCUGGAAGAACACCGGUGGCGAAGGCGGUCAACUGGCCCUGAACUGACGCUCAGGCACGAAAGCGUGGGGAUCAAACAGG
rnacentral:rRNA from 1 species